rnacentral:tmRNA from 1 species
GGGGCCGAUUAGGAUUCGACGCCGGUAACAAAACUUGAGGGGCAUGCCGAGCUGGUAGCAGAACUCGUAAAUUCGCUGCUGCAAACUUAUAGUUGCCAACGACGACAACUACGCUCUAGCUGCUUAAUGCGGCUAGCAGUCGCUAGGGGAUGCCUGUAAACCCGAAACGACUGUCAGAUAGAACAGGAUCGCCGCCAAGUUCGCUGUAGACGUAACGGCUA